UGCCAAAGGAAGUAUGGUAACGUGCAUAUAAAUUGAUUUGAGUUUUUAGGCCUGCCCUCUUUGAUACCAUUUGGCUUUGAUUUGGGGGCAUAAUUCCGCAGCAAAACA